ensembl:piRNA 21ur-8390 ncRNA
UAUUAUUUUUCACGCAGGUUU